GCUAACCAGCUUUCAUUUCAGCUCCUGUAGGCAUCUCCUGAAUUAAGUAACACAGAAAAGUCCUCUGAAGUCACUGAAUCCCAGAAAGGCUCUCCACCUUUAGCACAAGAGGAGUCUUCACCACAGGACAAAAGAAGGAACCAUAAGGGGGCACCAGACUAGGGUUUCUGAGCAUGGAUCCAAUCAUCCCAGCCCUGGGUACAUCGCAGACACCAAUCAAUGAAAGUGAGGAGACUCCUUGCUACAAGCUGACCCUGAUCCUCACGGUGCUGACGUGCAUCAUUUCCCUUGUGGGGCUGACAGGAAACGCGGUUGUGCUCUGGCUCCUGGGCUUCCGCAUGCGCAGGAACGCUGUCUCCACCUACAUCCUCAACCUGGCCGCGGCAGACUUCCUCUUCCUCAGCGGCCACGUUAUAUAUUUGCCAUUAUGCCUCAUCAAUAUCACCCAUACCAUCCGCAAAAUCCUCAUUUGUGUGAUGAUCUUCCCCUACCUUACAGGCCUGAGUAUGCUGAGCGCCAUCAGCACCGAGCACUGCCUGUGCGUCCUGUGGCCCAUCUGGUACCGCUGCCGCCGCCCCACACACCUGUCAGCGGUCGUGUGUGUCCUGCUCUGGGCCCUGUCCCUGCUGCGGAGCAUCCUGGAAUGGAUGUUCUGUGACUCUCUGCUUAGUGAUGCUGAUUAUCGUUGGUGUGAAAUAUUAGAUUUCAUAGCAAUCGCAUGGCUGAUUGUUUUAUGUGUGGUUCUCUGUGGGUCCAGCCUGGUCCUGCUGGUCAGGAUUCUCUGUGGAUCCCGGAAGAUGCCGCUGACCAGGCUGUAUGUGACCAUCCUGCUCACAGUGCUGGUCUUCCUCCUCUGUGGCCUGCCCUUUGGCAUUCAGUGGGCCCUGUUUUUCAGGAUCCACCUGAAUUGGAACGUCUUACGUUGUCACGUUCAUCUAGUUUCUAUGUUCCUGUCCGCUCUUAACAGCAGUGCCAACCCCAUCACUUACUUCUUCGUGGGCUCCUUUAGGCAGCGUCAAAAUAGGCAGAACCCGAAGCUGGUUCUCCAGAGGGCUCUGCAGGACACGCCUGAGGUGGAUGAAGGUGGACGGCGGCUUCCUGAGGAAACCCUGGAGCUGUCCGGAAGCCGAUCGGAGCAGUGAGGAAGAGCCUCUGCCCUGUCAGUCAGACUGGACUUUGAGACCAACACUG